rnacentral:tmRNA from 1 species
GGGGCUGAUCGGUUUCGACUACGUGCGUCGAGGUAGGGGAAGCGUGUCGGUGCAGGCUGGAGACCACCGUAUAAGCGUCGCAGCAACCAAUUAAGCGCCGAUUCCAAUCAGCGCGACUACGCCCUCGCUGCUUAAGUAGCGACGGCUAGUCUGUCGGCCCGGAUUGUGCUCCCGAAUCCGGAUGCCGGCAUCAUCUCAGGGAGCUCACCGUCCUCGCCGGUCGCGGGCGAGGUCGGAACAUCAAACAGCGACUGGGAUCGUCAUCUCGGCUUGUUCGCGUGACCGGGAGAUCCAAGUAGAGACAUAGCGGACUGCACACGGAGAAGCCCUACCAACACGACGGAGGACCCGGGUUCAAUUCCCGGCAGCUCCACGG